rnacentral:rRNA from 1 species
AACGAACGCUGGCGGCAUGCCUAACACAUGCAAGUCGAACGAGAGCACCGUGUGUACUGGCUCACGGGUGCGUAAAGCGGGGGAACGGGCCGGUAGGUUCGGAAUAACACUUCGAAAGGGGGGCUAAUAUCGGGAAAUGUAUGCGGACAAAAGAUUUAUCGCAUGUGGAUGCGCCCGCGAUGGAUGAGCCAGGUGGUAGGGUAAAAGCCUACCAAGGCGACGAUCCAUAGCUGGUCUGAGAGGAUGAUCCGCCACACUGGGACUGAGCCACGGCACAGACUCCUGCGGGAUGCAGCCGUGGGUGAUAUUGGACUAUCGGCGAAAGCCUGAUCCAGCUCUGCCGCGUGAGUGAUUAUGGCCUUAGAGUUGUACAGCUCUUUUACCCGGGAUGAUUCUGACGGUACCCGGAGAAUAAGCUCCGGCUAACUCCGUG